GGGCGGCGUUUCAUUAGUAAACGAACCGUCAAUCCGAAAACAAGUGCCAUUCUGAUCCGCGAAAAAAACGAGUUUAGUACUAGUACCAUACCGUCCUGUUUGUUCUGUGUGCAGUAAGUUUGUGGUGCGCGAGGCGAAUAGCAGAAAGGAGUUUGUCAUCUAGUUUUAGUUUUUUUUGUCGCAUGUUUCGUGCGUUUCGAAACUUUUUAGUUCAGUUUUGGUGCGAGUUGAAUUACCACUAACUGUGGAAACGACUAGUUUGUAGUUUUUCGCAAUCGUAGAUAGAAGUUAGUUGCCAAGUGUGCUGUGUUAAAACGUGUCAUCAGUGAAGAAUUCAGCGAAAGAGUUGGACGUUGGUUUCUAAAUUCGUAGCAUCUGUUUAAACAAGUUGGAUUAGGUAGUGCUUUUGCCAAAUCUUACCCAGGAUUAACAUUGGAUUUUGGAGUGAUUUCGGAUUGAGAACAUCUGAUUGCGUGAAUAGUUUCGAACGUUUAUUGUUUUAGCCUGAGUUGUACAGUUAUUUGAACAAAAAUCUUAAAUCGUUCGUUUCGAAAUGGUUGUCCUGACCACCACCACCACCACCAGCACCACCAAGAGCGGCCGCUCGACCUCGAUCUCCUCGUCGGUGAGCCGCCGGAAAAGCACCACCGUAGUCCGGAAGAAGUACAAAGAAGCAUACCGCGUGAUGGGAGGAUUCGAACAGCGUCCCUGGACACCCACUAAACGGCGUGGCCCCAUAGCGGCCGAGCAUCGUGGUCCGGGCCCCCAGUACUUGCUGCCACAGCUUCUAGGUACCAAAGUGGUCGAUUCGAAGCGGGCGGCCGCACCGGCGUUCAGCUUCGGACAACGUCACCGACCCAAGACGGAAUCAUUCAGCCCGGGCCCUCUGUACAACAUCACCGGUCUUGGCUGCAAGGGCAAAGACACUCCACCGGCCUACUGCCUGCAGAGUCGACCGAAGGAGAUUCCCAAGUACCUCACACCGGCACCCGGCGAGUACAACGUAGAGAAGGCAGACCGAAUGUUGGUCAAAGCGGCUCCGCGGUACACUUUUGGUGUGAAGAAGCCACCCAAAUCGACGAGCGAAACUCCAGCGCCUUGCGAUUAUAAGCCAGAAAAAGUAGUCCUAGACAGCGCACCCAAAUUUUCCUUUGGAAUAAGGCCGGAAAUCAAAAUCCGCAGCGAGUCGCCAGCUCCUGGCACGUAUUCGCCGGAAAAAAUAUUGCAUGACAAAUCACCAAAGUUUAGCUUCGGCCUCAAAGUUAUCCCGGAGAAAACGGAGGAAACACCUGCACCAGGGACAUAUCAGCCAGAGAAAUCAAUGCUGGCAUUAGAUCGGAAACCUGCCUUUUCAUUUGGACUGAAAACAAUCAUCGAACGGCCAAAAGAUACGCCAGCACCAGGAGCAUACGAACCGGAGAAAGCGAAACUAGACAACACACCGGCAUACAGCUUCGGUCUUAGGCCUAAUCUAACCAAGCCAAAUACAAAUCCGGCACCCUGUCAGUACGAGCCCGAGAAGGCCAAGACGCUCGAUCAUUCACCCGCAUAUCCAUUCGGCAUGCGCCUAAAUCACGAUAAGCCAAGCAACACGCCUGGUCCCACGGCUUACGGUGUAGAGAAAGUUAACCUAGAGCACAAUCCCGCGUACAGUUUUGGUCAGCGAACGGCCAUGGAUAAACCGAAUAGCAAUCCAGCCCCAGGGGCGUACUCACCGGAAAAGGCCAAAUUGGACGGAACCCCGAAGUAUAGUUUUGGUAUGAGACCGACAAUCGACAAAGUGGACGGCAUCCCGGCACCGGGUGCAUAUUCUCCCGAAAAGGCCAAAGUAGAUAGUAGUCCUGCGUAUAGUUUCGGUGCACGAUAUAAUCUAGAUAAACCUAGUGCCAUUCCCGGACCGGGGACAUACGAUGCCGAUAAGAGUUUCGAUAGCAACUCUCCGGCCUACAGUUUCGGUGCGCGAACGAAUAUCGAAAAGAAAAGUGAUCAUCCUGGUCCGGGUGCUUACGAUUCGGAUAAAGUAGUAGAUAAGAGCCCAGCUUAUAGUUUUGGAUUAAGAACGAAUGUUGAACGACCGAACGUUGUUCCGGGACCGGGAGCUUACGAUUCAGACAACAUUAACGAUAAAAAUGCCCCAUCGUAUAGUUUCGGAAUCAAGGGGAAUGCCGAUAAACCGAAUAAUAUUCCUGGUCCCGGAGCUUACGAUACGGAUAAAUUAGAUACUGGAGCUGCCUACAGUUUUGGGGUCAGAACCAACGUUGGGAAACCGAACACUGUGCCCGGUCCAGGUGCAUACGAUGCCGACAAAGUAGACAAUAGUACUCCUGCAUAUAGUUUCGGAGUUAAAGCUAAUCAUGAGAAGCCGAAUAAUUUUCCUGGGCCCGGAGCCUACGAUUCGGAAAAGAUUGCAGAUACCGGUGCACCAUCAUACAGUUUUGGCAUUAGAACUAAUGUAGACAAACCUAGCGUUGUUCCAGGACCAGGGGCAUACGAUGCAGAUAAGGUUCUUGAUAAGAGCACCCCUUCAUACAGCUUUGGUGUUAAGACAAAUCUGGACAAACCGAACACGCUACCUGGUCCAGGAGCAUACGAUGCAGAUAAAAAUAUAGACAAAACAUCUCCAGCAUAUAGUUUCGGAGUUAAAACGAAUGUAGCAAAGGUGCCACUUGUACCUGGUCCUGGUGCAUACGAUUCGGAGAAAGUACUAGACAAAACCUCACCCGCAUACACUUUCGGCGUCAAGACAAACACAGGAAAAAAUUACAAUACUCCGGCGCCAGGAUCGUAUUCCCCAGAGAAGUGUAACCUAGAUAACACUCCUCAGUACAGUUUUGGUGUUAAAACGAACGUUGAAAAGAAAGACACUAUCCCCGGACCGGGUGCGUACAAGACCGAAACUGUUAAGUUGGAUAAUACACCCGCGUACUCCUUCGGUGUGCGUCCCAAUAUUAAUAAAAGCGAACCAACUCCAGCUCCCUGCAGCUACUCACCGGAGAAGUUGAAGAUUCACAAUCCUGCGUACACAUUUGGGGUGCGGCCGAACAUUGACAAGAUUCAGGUUACACCGGCACCGGGAACGUACAAUCCGGAUGCGACUAAGCUGGACAAUGCGCCGUCCUAUAGUUUCGGUAUAAGACCACACAUCGAUAAAGUGCAGGUGACGCCAGCUCCUGGGGCGUACGAGGUGGAAAAGGUCAAGCUUGACCACGGUCCAGCGUAUCCGUUUGGGAUAAAGGUCAAUCGGGAGAAGGUGAACGAUGUACCAGCUCCCGGUACAUACGAUCCGGACAAAUCAAAACUGGAUCACGCACCUGCCUACUCCUUCGGAAUAAAGCAUAGAGGGGAAACGCUGAAAGAUACUCCAGCUCCUUCAGCCUACCAGCCAGAAAAGUGCAAAAUCGAAGCCGCCCCCGCAUUCACGUUCGGCGUGAAGGUAAAUUGCGCCAAACUCAAUGAUAAUCCAGCACACUCAGACAUACAGAAUCGUACCGAAACAUCCACGAUGGCCGUUACGGGCAAUGGCGAUGGCACUGUAACCACCUCCAGCACCUCCACCCGUUCCGCCAGUAAGACUUCCACUUCCGCAACAGUCACGGAAAAUGGCGGCGGCACCGUUGCACUGCAGCAAAAUAGCACCAGCGCUCAGAGUAGCUCCCAUCUGCAGCAGCAGCAACAGCAACAGCAAAAGCAAACCCAAGUGGUCACCAAUGGGAAUGCCAUAACGACCACAACGACCAGCGGCAGCGUGAAGAUGUCCCGGGAGCGUAAAACCGUUUGCGAGGAACGCGUCAGCUCGACGAGCAGCAUAACGGGUGCAGCCGGAACGACCGUCGUAUCCAGUGUGACCAACGAGAAUUUGGUUCCUAACUGCAUUGCCGGCGUGAAGCAGUUGCAAAAUGUGCAGCAUCAACGAAUGGUUUGCACGGGACACUUCCGAGCUUGAGCUCGGCUUGCUUCGCGUUUGAUUUUAGCUUUGAGUGUGCGUGUGAUUAGUUCGUUGAGUGUUCUGUGUUAGCUUCCGAGAAGUAGCUUCUAUUUGCUUUUUAUUCGAUUCAGUAGUUCUGCUAUAGAAGACAUUGCACGCGUUACGUAUGUAGUUAUGAGUAGUUUUUUUUAAAUUUUUUUUUCUUGACUUCGUGUAUGUAUAAAAUGGAUCUAUGACUAUUUUUUAAGCCCCGAAUGAGUAUCACAUCCCGGACGUGCUCGGUUCGAGCAAGGAAGGCCCAAUCCGUUCCGCACCCGCUUAUACAAUCACCGGCCGUCAGAAGGCGCGACUACCGCAGUGCAUCACCUUCCCUGGUCCCGGCCAUU